CCAAACGUGAAAAUUCUGCCAUAUUUUAAGAUAAAUGUUUGCAUCCCCUCCGAGUUCUCCUGGUUGGAUUAAGGGGCAUGUCCUGGAGCUGGAGCUCUGCAGGGAAGGUCUUCUUUGGGUAGUGCUUGGGAUCUUCCCUCCUUGGGACCUUCCCUACUUCUUCCUCUUUCUACACUGUGAUUGUCCACAGCAGACAUCCUUGUGCCAUGAUGGAGCCAAGGACUGAAAUUCCUUCUGUGCUUGGCUAGUUGGCAAAGACUUGAUGUUCAACAAUCAGAUGAGCCGAAGUGUUGAGGGUGAAAUCAGAGUUGGAAGGACACAGGACUUCAGCAGGACAGGGAUGAUGCUCCAGAGGUGAUGUCCCAGGCUCUCCUGCUCCUUCACUCAUGUUUUGGACUGCCAUGGGAUGUUUCCCUUUAUUCCCAGCAGGUAUAUGGCCAGCAGGGCAUCAGUGCAGGUGCAACUGCAGACUCCCAGAGGUGGUACAUGACAUUCCCAAGCAAAGCAGCUGACUCCUGGAAGGCUGGAGGUGUGGAAAGAUCGUUGCACAGCUCAGCUCUUCCUGCACCAACCUGUUCCUUCUUUUUGUAAACCCAUCACUGGAUGGGGCAAAAAUGCUCAGACAUCAAAAUUGAGGGAAGUGCCCUUGAAGUUGCAGCAGGACAUUCCCUGAUCUUUGGUCCUUGUCCCUGCCCUGUGUGUUUUGGGUGGAAGGGAGGCAGCAUAUUGUGGUUGUGUGUUGUCAUCUCCUGGGCUGCAAAGUCACCAAAUAAUUCUCUUGUGUCUCCCAUCCUGAGCACUGCUCCAGUGCCCAGCUGUGCUCCGUCAGGAGCCAUCAUGUCCCACACCACUGCAGGCUGCCCGUAGUCUGUGCUGUGCCCCAGGGGUGAGGACAUGAGGUGGAGACAGUGCCUGGGGCUGUGGGGGAGCUACAGAAAUUCCAUGUUUGUUUCCCAGAGCUCAUGGCUGCUGGGGCUUUAUACCAGACAAUGAGGCUGCACGCCCAGCAUGGUCCCUGCCAUAGGGACAAUUCCAAGGGUAGUCCAUCCUGACAAGGGUGAGGGUUGGGUGGAGACACUUCUUUAAAAUUCCUGCAGAAAAUCUAAACAUCUUACAUUUUAGGUUCUUUGGCUGCAGUUUUUUUCUGGGAAAUUCAGGGAGUAGCAAAGGGCAACAGGGACCAUUUGGACUGCCCACAGCUGCCACUAUCUCUGGCACAUUUACACACUGGGUCCUUAGGACUGUGUGCAACAAUAAAAGCAAUUCAUGACUCAGGAAUUACCCUGCAAAGACAUAUUUGCAGCAGAAGGUGAUUGCUGGCUACGUCUUCACUCCUGCCAUCAGAGUCCCCAGGGUGGUGCUGGGGAUAUCAGACCCUCCUGCUAAGGAUUUCCCAGUGGGAAGCAGUGGCAUUUUCAUGUCAGGGAAAUGCAGAACUCUGAAUGCAGCUGAUGCCACAUCUCAGGAAGGUUUUAAUGCCCUUAGUAUGAGCCAUCCCUCAGGGGCUGCAAAGCUGUUUUGCUUCCUUCCUUGCUGCUACCUUGCCUUCUCUAAAGCCAGGUGCAGAGAAAUGGUGCAAAUGAAAUGGAUUUUUUUUCUCCCUCAGUGUCAGUUAAUAAAUCCUUUUGAUAUGUGAACUCAACUUUUUCACAGCCAAAUGCAGGUUAAAAGCAGCUUUGUGCCCAUGGGCUGUGCCACCUCUGGGCCGCCAUCACAGCCCCAUAAAUGCAGUUAAUCCUUUUCUCCCAUCUUUCUUAUAAGUGGGAAUAUGGUCCUGUGUCUUCCAAACACAGCAGCCCAGCUGAUUUCAGAUCAGACCCAGCUCAGUCCAACUCACAGUUGCAAAGGAAAUACCAUUUACUACUGAAAAAAAACCCAAUUUUUGUAGUUCAGAUGCUGCAACCACCAGCAGCUUUGCCAAGAAAUUCAGUUCUUACACAGGAAAUGAGGCUCCUUUCAAAGCACCAAAGUGGGGCUAUAUAUAUACAGCCUCUCUGAAAAGAUAUUUAAAGAAGCAUAUUGACAUUAGCAAGAACAGGAAAAAAUAGCUCCUGGCUGUGGGGAGUGAGGGCUGAUGGCAGCUGAGCCCAUCCUGUGGGAGUGGGUGGUACAGGGAUUCAUUCAUGGCCCUUUCAUCUCCAGGAAAAAGAGCUCCUGGGUUUGGUGCUGUGUGAACCCCCAUGCUUUUGGUCUCCUGGCUUUUACUAGGAGCUAGAGGUGCUGGGGAUUGAAUGCAGCUUCAGCAGUGAGCACUGCCACAGAAGUCAUCCUGCUAAUUUUACACCAUCUGAAGUAGCUGAGCUAUCUCCAGUGUGAUAUAGAUCUCCAAAAGCUUAUAAGACCUGGCUCAAAGAGACCCCUGGCUACCAGUGAGACUAGGUAAAAAUAGCAUCUAAAAUUAUGGAAAUCUUGGAAUAAAGUAGCCACAGCUCAGCAGGGUUUUAUUAGUUUGCUCCACUGCCAAGCAACAAAGGAUCUUUUUCACCUCAAGACUCAAGUGCGUCACAUUGGGGCAACCUCAGAUACCCUUGAACCUGAGUUUAAUGGCCAAACCAUCAAACCAGCCUGGCAACCUCCCUGUGAGCUGAAUACAGCUAGAGCAACUCUGGAGCUGCCUAUUUCCUCAGUCCACAAUGUUCCCAGCCUGUGGACUGGUACUUUCUGCAUCGGUGGGAACAAAGGCACCUUUUUAUUGGAGCACCAAACUUCCACAGCUAAGGCGCAGGAGGGGAUCGGUGAGUGAGUGCUGAGCACUGUGGAGGGCACAGACUCCAGGACAAAGCUGAUGGACAUUCCCAGCCCAGCCCAUGGUUAGGACUGACACCCUGUGUUGGCCUGAAGAUGUUGUUGGAAGCCGUGGCCAGGAUCCGAUUCUACAGCAGAUACAGAGCUGAUUCCAUUGUCAUCACACAACACCAACCACAAACACAACCAACCUUUAGGACAUGCUCUCCAUUGGUAUGAGGCUUGGCAAGCUGGAGAAGUGUCCACCAAAGAAGGGACUGAGAUUCUGCAGUUUAAAAAGGCAGCUCAAUGUGCUAAGAGACUGUUCCAAAACAUUGAAGUUAGGCUGGAGGAUCUUUAAAGAUCAUCUGGUCCCAAUCUCCUGCUGUGGGCAGAGACAUCUUUCUCCAAGAUCAGGCACCAGGAAGGCUCUUUUUAACUGCUGGAAAGAGCACUUGGCAUCUUCCACACAAGCCAGAUACAGCCCUUAGAUCCCCAGCCUGAUCCUGGUGGAGUCACAGUUCAUCCACAACCUCUCCAUCCCACCUCUAAAUAAACUAAAUGCAACCUCUGCAUCCCACUGAAUAAAGCAUGGAUCACCACUCUGGCAUCUCCAUAGGCUUGGCAGCAGGUCACACUGCUGCUGGCCCUCAUCUUGCUGAUCCAUGGUCAUCACAGAAUCCUUUGUAUUGGGAAAUACCUCCAAGGUUAUUGAGUCCAGCCCGUGACUGAUUCCUACUUUGUCAACCAGCCCAGAGCUCUGUGUGCCAUGUCCAGUCAUUCCUUACAUACCUCCAGGGAUGGGUACUCCACCACCUCUGGGAAGCCCUUUCCAAUGCUGGACAAUGCUUUCUGUGAAGAAAUUCCUUCUGAUGUCAAACCUAAACCUCCCCUGGUCGAGCUUGAGGCGAUGCCCUCUUGUCCCAUCUGUUGUCCCUCUCAUCCUGAACCAUGGUUACCAAGUGUGCCAGCUUUAGGUUGCUCCAUAUGGACUACCCAGUCCAGCUCUACAACCCUUGGAACUGCUCAGGAGAAAAGUCCCACAGCACCAGUUAGUGGUGUGAGGACGUCUUCUGGGUCUUAAGGGAAUGCUGAAGUAGUGGCAGAGGAAGACUUUGACUUUCUGGAUGUUGAAGAAGUCAGUGUAUGCUGGAAGUGGCUGUGCCAGAAGAGGUGCUUCUGAUGCACUAAGUCAGUGAAGCCAUUGAAGAGCUCAUCUCUUCAGGUGAUGCUGUUCCCAGUCAGUGACCUGAGGGUGUUUUUCCAGCCAGGAAUGUUUUGUGCACUUCACUAAUGGGAAUGAAAUGUUCCAACAGUCUACAAGGUUUGGCUACUUCUGCAGAGUUAAAUACUUGUCUGGAGAGGGCAAAGAUGGGUAUUCCUAGGUUUGCUGAAUUUUAUGGUCACCUGGAACUCGCAUAGUCCAUCCUGUCCUGCUGGGAUUCAUGGAGCAGGUGUCUGGUGAGGCUGUUAACCCUUUCAGCAGCCUGGGGAAAGGGGAGCUGCGUUUUGGUGGAGCUCCUUCCAUCUUGUGGUUCCAGGGGACACUCCAUCACUCCAUACUCUGUCCCUGAUCACCAUGGUACCUUUGAUCCUUCCCAAGCACAAGGAACCCAGAAUUGUGUUGGGGUGAUGAAUGGGGCCAGUCCUAGACCAUCUCCUCACACAGGAGGGGUGAGAGGUCAUGGGGUGCCCUAGGACAUGGCACAGACAACAUUUUGGUGGGUGGGAUCCAGCCUAGAAUUUCUACUAUGCCCCACAACUUUCCUUCCUUGGGGGCGCCUUAAGAGGUGGGUUGAGCAAGAUCCUCUCCUGGCUUUACCCAUGUCCUCAACAGAAGGGCAAACUGCUCCCUUGUUUGUCUUCCUGGCUCUUGCAGUCCCACUCCAGCUCUUUUUAUAGCUCGGGAAGAAGUGCUUUCAAUUUCUGAGUCGGCUUGGAGGCCAAGCACACUGGGAGGAGUCGCAGCUAGAAAUAGGGCUGCACUCUGCUCCUGCAUUCCAGAUUUUUUAUUUUUUUAGCUGAAAUGUCCAAAUUUGAAGAGUCCCAUUGCCACAGGCACAGAACUUUUCCAUUCACACUAGAUCUUUUCUCCUUUGCCUUAUUUCCAGUGCCCUCACACCAGCCACUGAGCCCCCUCGGGAUGAUUUUCCCAGCAAAUGGGGUGUGUCAUCCCUGCCUGUGUUUUCUGUAACCCCCCGAUUUCACCCCUCAACACAGCUGUUUUGACAGGAGAGCUCCCUGAGGAAUUAGUAGUGUCUGGGGGGUGGAGGAGCAAUCAGGUACCAGCCAAAGCUUCUGAGUGGUGUGCAAAGAGCUCAGACUAAAUAUCCAGCAAUUUCUGCCUAUGGGGAGGGAAGCAAAGCUUUGGCAGCAGCAGAGACAAAAAAAAACAGAGAAAAAGAAAGAGGAGAAAUUGUUGGACAAAACCUGUGGUUUCCAGCCCAUUAUUAUGUGGGAUUUUUGCUGUGGUGCUAUACUGGGGCAGGGGCAUAUGGACAGAGCUGUCCUGGCAUAGCAUCCACAGCUUCCUGGGGUCGGCUCCUCUCUCCCAUAGGAGCAGGUAUAAUUAACUGUAUCACAUCUAGACUUUUCCAUUAAUCCUUUAAUACCUGGAUACUAUUGUGGGGCACACCCUAGCUGCAAUCUGCCCUUUGAGAGUUUUUUUAGUACAGAACCACUUUGGGUCCCUGCUGCCCCUGGUCUAUCAGCCUCCAGAGUGCCAUGUGUGUGCAUCAACGUCUCUGUGAGCUGGGAAUUGGAUAUGCCAGGGAAAAAUAGAUCUGGGAUCCAAUCUGAACCAAUCUUUUUUCUAAUCAGCCAUCACAUGGAAAAGACAAUUAGCCAGUGUCCCUGUUAGAUCUUUUAUCACUUUAACCCUUUUCCGUCCUUUUCUGCAGCAUUCACUAACUCUGGAGGUAGUUGCAAUCCAACUUCUCUUCCCAUCAGCAGGAAAAAGAAAUUUUUCGCAUGGUGGGAAUGCUAAAAACUAUGGAUUCCUAUCAGAGGGGUGAAGCCUGUCAGGCCCUUUCAUUGGAUAAUAAGCAAAUUUCAGAUACCCAUUCCCAGCACCUCCAAGGGAUUCUUUCUUUCCAGCUGCAGCAGGAAGUGCUGUGAUUUCUGCUUGGGGAAAUAGCAAGCAUGUCAUGAACAGGGUGUGUAGCCAUGGGUGAGGUCUUCUCCUUCUUCUUCCCAUGGGUAUUUCCAUCUUUCCAGCCCUGGAGGGUAAGGAUGGUACUCAGCUCCUUCCACAGCAAUCCCCAGCUGGUCCCACAGCCUGGGUGUUUCAGGACCUGGAUGUUUGCUUCUCCCCUGCAGAUGUUCCUGGUCCUGUGUUGAGGUUCAAUAUGCUCUUCCAGAAAGAAGCAGCAUUUGGAAAUUCCCUCCAAUUGUCCCCACAUGGAUUUGUUUCUCUGCCUCAUCAGGGUACAGCAGAGGAACUGGUCAUGGUGGUUAAGCUGUGCUCAGGGCUCUCUGGGUUGUUUCUGAUAAUAUCAUACAGCAGAUUUCUUGCAUGUUUUUCUUUAUUUAUCCAGAAAUGGGAAAAAAAAAAAAAGUCUCAAUUCCCUGAACAUCAAUGGAGCACAAAGGAUUUUCUCUGCAGAGGAAACUACGGCACUACUGGGUGCAGUUCCCACAGUCCUCGAGCUGGUGCCUGGCUUAGCCAUCCAUUACCUUCACUGAGGCCACUCUGAUUCCCGUGGCUUUAGUGUCCCAGGAGCCUUUUCCCUGUGUCACUCCACCCAACCCUGUCACCUCCCAGCAAAAUAUGUGUCUAGCAGGAGGAUGUGCCAGGGCCGGGGAGGGGAGUGGGGUGGGGAUAUGAGGACGAGGGUGCCCUGGGCUGGGCUGGGCUGGGCUGACCUUGCAGUGGCUGACAGCUGCUGAAUUGCUGGAAAAGAAGGAAAUUUGGUCUGUUUAGUGUCUCCCAGAGCCAGUUCCUUGUGUUUGGGUGUCCCACAUGCCCCUCUGCCAGUGUCAAUGGUAUUGUGUGUGCUCCUGUGAUUUGCAUUCGAGAGCAGAGAUUUCCCUCCCACAUUAAACCCCCUGUUUUCCUGGAACAACAUGGAAAUCCUGGGGCUGCCCUUCCCUCUGCCCUGAUGAACUCUAGAAGGGGCAUCCCUGGGGUGCAGAGCCCUUCAGGCACCCCUCUUCCCACCUUCAUCCUUGUGUGAAGAUCCUGUUCAUAGGGCCAGAGGAAGCAGGGGACAGAGUGGCAGGCACAGCCAUCCACGCCCAGCCCAUUCCACUGUGGGGGGAUGCCCCCCAUGCCAUGGGGAACCAGUGGCUCCCAGCAGAGGGGGCAUCUCCUGCUGCCAGAAAAGCUCCUGAUGGAGCUGCUUCUUGUCAUCUGCUUAUCCCAAGUGCUUCCCAUCUGUUUCCCCAAUGCUUCCAAUAGGCACAGGCAUGUUUUCCACACCCAGAGCUGGGUUUCAUGCUCUUAGUGCCCCUCCAGCCUCAGUGCUGGGGCUGGCUGGAGCAAGACAGUGCAACUCUUCUCCCUGGGCUGGGUGAGCCUAAGGGUGUGCUGGCAGUGCUCCAGCCAGUGGUGUUUAUUUCCACACAAGGAAAAUGAGGAAAACAAAAUAUUUAUAUAUCAGGAAGGGAUUUUACAGCCUUUUGCAUGGAAUCAUGCCUGCUAUUCCCUUCUCAAUUAUCUCAGACAGGCGGCAAUAACACAUGAAACACAGUUUCCUUUAUGCGUGGGGUUUUUCCACCUUGGGCUCCACCCUGGUCUCAGCAGAGAUCGCUGCUCCAGCCAUGCAGGCUCCCCAGGACCUUCUGACUCUUCUACCCAGGGGCAGGCAGCUUGCCAGGUGCUCUCAGCCAGGCAGAGUUAUGGGGCACUUGUGGGAGCAUCACCUGUGCAGGAGCAGCCAUAGGCACUGGAGAGGUGUUGGAUGUGGGAGCAGGGGCUACUAAAAGAGUGCAAGGAAUGCUUGAACUUGCAUAGCAGAGAAUCCCGGAGUGUUUUGGGUUGAAAGGAACCUUAAAGACCAUCUCACUCCACUCUUUGCCAUAGGCAGAUACACCUUCCACUAGACCAGGUUGCUCCAAGCUCUACCCAGGCCUGGCCUUGGACACUGCCAGGAAUGAGGCAGACACAGCUUCUCUGAGUGGCAGGGCCUCACCAUGCUCACAGGGAAGAAUUUCUUCCAAUAUCCCAUCUAUCCCUGCCCUAUGGUAGUGGGAAGCCAUUCCCUCUUGUCCUGUCCCUCCAAGCCUUUGUCCAAAGUCCUUCUCCAGCUCUCUUGGAGCCCCUUUAGGCAGAGGAAGGGGCUCUAAAAUCUCCCUAGAGCCUUCUCUUCUCCAAGUGAACAUCCCAAGGUAUUCCAGCCUGGCUCCAGAGCAGAAGGGCUCCAGCCCUCAAGGUUCACCCAUGGGGUUUCAUCCUGGCACUGGUGCAUAUGAGGGGAUGCCAGACAGGGAAUUUACCAUGUCAUUUUUAGCUGUCAUUUGGACACCUAUUUGCUCCACCGUUUCCCCCUUGGACUGAACUGGGCACCCUGAUCCUGCUGGGAGGGAGAGCAGCUCUUGGCACCUCUGCAAAUGUGCAGCUCUCCAGAGCACAUGGCUCCACAGCCUUUUGGGAAGCAGCUAUUAGGGACAUGGGGAGCUGGACAGGGUCUCAGUAGCUGGGGGGUGGGGGGAGAGAGCUGGGAAGUGGCUCUGGUGCCAAAGCAAGCAGCCAAACCUGUGGGAGCACUUGGAGGAGGCAGCAGUGCUGUGAACUGUCAUUGCCUGCUCUGCUCCAACCUCCCCCUGCAACCACACGGCACUUAAAUAGGAAUGAGCUCAGGGCUGGAAAGUGUCCCCACAUAUGUUGCAUAUUUCCUAUAAAUACCUCGACUGCUGCCUAUUAGCUGGAGGCAGACACAGCACCCAUAUCCCUCCCACAGCCCCAGCACUGCUGAGGGGGCUGCAGGCAGGGGUUGGCCAGGGGCUGGCCUUGUAGGAUGUGAUCUGGUGCAGGAAAAACACAUGCUGUGACAUUUCCCAGCCUAUUGCAUCCAGUGGUUUUACUUCAGGUGAUUUUGUUCCACCUCUGCUAUGCAUCUGCAACAAAACUGCUCACAUUUAGGACUUGUGGGAGGUGCUGAGGUGUGUGUGCCUGUUCUGGAGCAUCCAUGCAGCCUCCUGCUCCCUUGUCCGGGUUCACGGGGAUAUAAAGCUCAGGAGAAGGUGUGGGAAGCUUCUGGGAGGUGCUUAUGGGCUGGGCACUGAGCUGAGCGCCACACUUGGCAUUGCCAGGCUCUGCUGUCUCAAUUCAAGGGGCAAGCAAAAGCAGAUAAUUAAAGUGAUUCCUCUGAUGGGGCAAUGGAGGGAUCACCUAAGGCAAAUGUUUGGAGAUUCACAAGGGCCUCACUAUGCUUUGGGGGAGGGAGGAAGGCACCUGAGGGCAGACGCUGAAUGUGUUUUGACACUGUGCUGCUUGUGAAGCCUCAGCUCCCCAUUUAUGAAGCCUCCAGGGCAGAACUUGGCAACUCUAAAAGGAAAUGACUGGGAGAUGUGUUUUAUGGCUUCAAACUGAAAGAGAGCAGGUUUGGAUUGGGUGUUAGGGAGGAAUUCUACCCUGCAGGGGUGGUUGCCCAGAGAAGCUGUGGCUGCCCCAUGCCUGGAAGUGUCCAAGACCAGGUUGGACGUGGCUUGGAGCAGUGUGAGAUAGUGGAAAGUGUCCCUACCCAUGGCAGGGGUGGAAUGAAAUGGGCUUUAAGGUCCCUUCCAACCCAAAUCAUUCUGGGAUUCUAUGAUUUAUCAACCAUCUUCUGAGUCACUGGUGACACUGAUCCAAGUAUCGAAGGGCUGCAAGUAGAGAAAGGAGGAAAAAGUUGGGGGUUGUUGAUGGGGGGGGGGUCAGUGGACUCAUGGCUGGGGGUAAACAUCCCCCUGGAUGGGGAGAGCUGCUGGGGGCAUUGACCCCUGUAAACUUUGGGGCUUACAAGGUGGUGGGUGACAUUGGAGCCCAGGGAGCCGUGAGGGUCAGACAUGGCAGGGUGAGCCAGUUCCCACUGCUGCUGUCUUCUUUGCUGACUCUGUUUCCUUCUUCUGUGCGUUGGCUCAUCUCAGUGGUGUCAGCAUGAGGCAAGAAGGAAGUGACACCACAGCAGGGCAAUGUGUGUGUGCAAAGGAAGAGCCAGCCUGGGGUUCCCUAGGAGGGUUCCCAGAUAAUCUGCAUGUAAGGAUGGGGCUGCAGGGGACCCAGGAGACAUCUGCAAUGAUGAGCAAGUUGGCACAUAGAGCGUAAGUGUGCAGGUUUAAAUCCCACUGCCAUGAUUCACCUGUACCAGCCCUUUACCUCCCUCAUGGUCAAACAUUUCUUCCCCAUCUCUAACCUGACCCCACCCUUGUUCAGUUUAACAUAGUUGCCCUGUGCUGGGACCCCAGAGGUGCAGGCAGCUUCAGGGGGGUCUCAGAAGAUGCUUAGCUUUUUGGGCUGUCAGCACAUAUGGCUGGAUCAUGUCCCAUUUGUCACCCACCAGAAUCCCCCAGUCCUCUACACGGUUGUCUCCAUUCAUCCAUCCAUCUAUCCAUCCAUCCGUCCAUCCAAUCCAUCUGUCCGUCCAUCCAUCCAUCCAUCCAUCCAUCCAUCCAUCCAUCCAUCCAUUUAUGAAAUCAAUGAUGACAGAAUACACUGAAUCACUAUAGAAUCAGUGGAUCCAGGACAUGGAAGGCCUGCAAGUAGAGAUGACAGGACAACGCUGGGGGCCAUUGAUGGGAGUAAAUGGCCCCAUGGGUGGAGAGAGAUGCUGAGCUUGUUUAUCCUCACAGACUUCUGGGGUCCCUGCAGACAUCCCUAGGCUGUGCUGGCACUAGGGAUUGCCCUGGCCGAGGUCCAUGAUCUUGGCCUUGGCCUGACCGAACCCCAUGAGGCUUCCAUGGACCCACUGCUCCAGCCUGUCUAGCUCCCUCUGAAUGCCCUCCCUUUCCUCCUGCCCACUGAUGGCACCAUUCAGAUCAGUCUCACCCUUUCUAUGGGUUCCCAGCCCUACACACCAGGAAGGAAACAGGAGUUUCAUCUGCCUCUGGUUUGGAUGGGUGGUCUAUUUACCUGUCUUCUUGCAGCACUGACAGGAGCUGGAAGCAGCAAGGGGGGAGGAUGUUGCUUAUCCCACCUCUCUCUUUCCCUCUUGCAUUUUUAAUCCCGUUGGCAUUGUAUUGCUGCUCUCUGAGCUCCUGCUUACCUUGUAGCAACCCCACUGAGCCGUGUUCCAGAAGGCUGUGUGAUUGCUGUAACACCAACAAGGAUGGAUUGAACAGGAGCUAAAAAUACCAAAUGAUCAAUAAUGGCACCAUGAACCUGUCAUGCUAUUUUAAUUUUUUUUUUUUUAAGAAAAUCUCUAUAUUGACAGCUCAACCAAGUGGCUUCCUGUAAAGGCCGGAGAGAUAAUGGAGCUCAGCUCCCUGCUGGGCUGGCAGCAGCUUCACCCCCACCUCUCUGUCCAUGGCCCUGGGAGCCCGUCUGGAUCUCCUGGUGAUGUGGAAGGACUGCUCUCCUCCCUGCUUUUCAUGCUGGUCCAGUUGUGGCGAGCAGCUGGGGGAGCUAGGUGCUGAAAUAACCCCUGGUACUCCAUGCCAGUACAGCCCUGGGCACAGCCACCAGCCCUGGCCCUGUGCCUGCUUCAGCCUGAUCUGCUUUUUCCUCUCACUUUCACAUGCCCAGGAAACUGCAGCAUUACACAGAUUUGAAAAUGGCCUUGAGCUUUUUAGGCACUGCUCCUAAGCAGAUAUUUUUCCUAAAUAAAGAUUUGCGAAGGUAUUUGGGCAUUAGCCAGACAGGGGGAUUUCCAGAAGUGUUGGAGCAGCCAAAUACCCUUUAAAUCUGCCUCCAUGCAGUGCAGGGUUGAGGCUGGAAGUAGCUGGUUCACCAGGACUGUGACCAUUUGGGGACAUUUUUUACAUCAGCAGUGUCAGCAUGAGAGUUUUCCAAAGGUUGUUCAUUGAUGGAUCUCUUUGGAAAAUCACAGUGGGCUGAGCCCUGAGGGAUGUGGCUGUACUGUGAUAUCUGAGUCAAGAGAAACUAAUCACACCUCCAGUUCCUGCCAGUACUGUUCCAUCCCUGUAUCCUGACUAAUCCAUGAUGUGGUACUGGCAGUAGGGAGCAUACCUGGUGCAGGUGUUGAAUCUGUUUUGGAAAGACAUGGAACAGUGCAGGAAAGUCAAUCGCCGUUACAGUGUUCUAAUAUCCCACUCAGAGGAAAAACUCACCUUGCUGUCACCACAUUGGUGGCAAUGGCUUUUUUCCCCACUAAGGCCCACUAUCCCAAACACUCCCAGUGCCCAGCAUUCACCCCCUGCUCCUAAAAUGCAAGCUCCUUGCACAGCCAGUGCUGGUCAUCCAGCUCCAAGGACCAGACAACAAACCCAGCCUAACCCAGCCUCCACAGCAUAUUCCCCAAGAGAGUGCUCCAGGGCUGGAAAGCUGCUGGAAAAAACUGAAACCUGAAAAAAAAAGACAAUAAAUAGUUUUCCAAGUCCUUGGUGGUUUUCCCAGUGAACCUGCUAGUCUCCCUAGAGCUCUGAAAAUGCCAGGAUACUGGAGCUCUCAUAUCAGAACAAUGCUUCAGCAGCAUUUGGACAGGUGUAAGUCGUGGAGCCGGAUUAGUUUAUUGUGAGCUGGGGAGGUGGGUUUAAACUUCUGCUACACUGGGGGAGAUGGGAAAAAAAAAAACGUUCUCUGAGGAAAAUGAAUUUAGGAGUCUGAAUCCAAGGAGUUGGUUGAGCCAUGAUUUGGUUCCUUCCCUUGGGGUAGACUUGGGAAAUACAGAGAGAUCAAGAAGGAGCAACAGAUAUUAUUAGUCAUCCAGGAGGGAGGCGGCUGCAGAGGAAGAUGGUUUUUAGUGGAGUAUUUUUAGACCUGGUAAAAUGAACA